rnacentral:tRNA from 1 species
GGCUCAAUGGUCUAGUGGUAUACGAUUCUUGCUUCGGGUGCAGAGGUCCUGAGUUCGACUCUCAGUUGAGCCC